CUUUGGUUCCUGCACAAAAGGAUUUUUCAAGCACUGAGGGCCCACAGGCCGACUUAGGAGUCACGGCAUUGGGGUUUUCUUUUGAAAGUCUCCAUAAACUCUGUACAGAUCAUAUAAUGUCAUCUACAUCCAUUUGUUGAAGUUAAAUUCUUUACAACAAAUGUUUACUGAGCGUCUCCUACUUGCUGGACAUUUUGCUAGAUACCAACAGUAUAAAGAUCAAGACACACAGAGCCGGCUUUCACGCCCAGUGAUAGAAGGCAGCCACUCAGAUGGCUGAAGGUUAACACUCUGAGAUGCUCUGGUCCAGACAGAAGCGAAAAACUGAAGGAAGAGCCGAUGUGGAACUGAUCAGCCUAAAUUUGAAGCACAGUUCACCAGUGUGCUUCCACCAAAGGCUUCCAGGCUCCUCUCCACGCUGCGUUUUAGCUGACUUCAAGUAUCUUUGGGAACACAUUUUUACAACAUUUCAACCUGAAGCCAGAGGCUCAGACAAGGAAAGACACCACUUCCUAGAGAUUAGGAAUCUUGAAGACAGUGCCGAGCCUGGCCUGAAGAAAAAACAAAGGUAUUUCUACCUUGCAGCCAGGCUUAAGAAGCACUUACUUAAACUGGUGAUUCUCAAAGUGUGGUUCCAGACCAGGAGCAUCUGCAUCACCUGGAUGGAAGAGAGACCAGAUGACCCCAAAAGACUAUUUUCUGCUCAGGACUCUAUUGCCUACAUCACGCAAGGCCGACUGUCAACAGUGGAGGAGAGCCAUCAUUUUGGUUUCCAGUUCCCAGGAACCAUCUGUGCUACUGCCAAAGCUGUGUUGCUGACAUGGGUUUUCAAGAUCAAGAGUGGCUCUGUCGACUUUCUUUUUUUCCCCCAAAGAUGAUUGAAUGUU
rnacentral:lncRNA from 1 species